rnacentral:rRNA from 1 species
GAUGAACGCUAGCGGCAGGCCUAACACAUGCAAGUCGAGGGGUAGAACACUUCGGUGUUGGGACCGGCGCACGGGUGCGUAACGCGUAUGCAAUCUACCUUGUACAGGGGAAUAGCCCAGAGAAAUUUGGAUUAAUGCCCCAUAGUAUAUAACCUUCGCAUGUUGGUUAUAUUAAAGUUCCAACGGUAAAAGAUGAGGAUGCGUCCCAUUAGUUAGUUUGUAAGGUAAAGGCUUACCAAGACGAUGAUGGGUAGGGGUCCUGAGAGGGAGAUCCCCCACACUGGUACUGAGACACGGACCAGACUCCUACGGGAGGCAGCAGUGAGGAAUAUUGGUCAAUGGGCGCAAGCCUGAACCAGCCAUGCCGCGUGCAGGAAGACGGUCCUAUGGAUUGUAAACUGCUUUUAUACAGGAAGAAACAACUCUACGUGUAGAGUCUUGACGGUACUGUAGGAAUAAGGAUCGGCUAACUCCGUGCCAGCCGCCGCCGUAA